UACGGGGGGGUGCAAGCGUUAAUCGGAAUUACUGGGCGUAAAGCGCGCGUAGGUGGUUUGUUAAGUUGAAUGUGAAAUCCCCGGGCUCAACCUGGGAACUGCAUGCAAAACUGGCAAGCUAGAGUAUGGUAGAGGGUGGUGGAAUUUCCUGUGUAGCGGCGAAAUGCGUAGAUAUGGGAAGGAACACCAGUGGCGAAGGCGACCACCUGGACUGAUACUGACACUGAGGUGCGAAAGCGUGGGGGAGCAAACAGGA
rnacentral:rRNA from 1 species